ACACAGUUCUGCUCUUCUGCCAUUUCAAACAGGACGUGGCUUCAAUAAGCUAGACAUUAAACGUUAGAUACAAUUAUUUCAUAAUUUCGAGAAAAUAAGAUCUCGAUAAAAUGAGUCCGUUAUCUCAAGGAGACAAUUUAAAAGAAUAA